AAUUGGAAUGAGUACAAUGUAAAAACCUUAACGAGGAACAAUUGGAGGGCAGGUCUGGUGCCAGCAGCCGCGGUAAUUCCAGCUCCAAUAGCGUAUAUUAAAGUUGUUGCAGUUAAAAAGCUCGUAGUUGGAUUUUGGGACAAGCUUGUUGGGCCGCCGCGAGGUGUUUGCCCCGACGAGGGUAUCCUUCCUCUCGAAAUUGGCGUGUGCGCUUAAUUGAGUGUGCGUCGAGUUUGGGACUUUUACUGUGAAAAAAUUAGAGUGUUCAAAGCAGGCUAUCGCUUGAAUAUUUCAGCAUAGAAUAAUGGAAUAGGACGUUGGUUCUAUUUUGUUGGUUUCUAGGACCGAAGUAAUGAUUAAUAGGGAUAGUUGGGGGCAUUAGUAUUUAAUUGUCAGAGGUGAAAUUCUUGGAUUUAUGAAAGACUAACUUCUGCGAAAGCAUUUGCCAAGGAUGUUUUCAUUAAUCAAGAACGAAAGUUAGGGGAUCGAAGACGAUCAGAUACUGUCGUAGUCCUAACCAUAAACUAUGCCGACUAGGGAUUGGU
rnacentral:rRNA from 1 species